ensembl:rRNA 5S_rRNA 5S ribosomal RNA
GUCUAUGGCCACACCAGCCUAAAAGUGCCUAAUCUUUUCUGAUCUCAGAAACUAAGCAGGCUUGGGUCUGGUUAGUACUUGGAUGGGAGACACCUAUUUCAUACCUCCUUGCUACUGUGCCAGAAGUCCUUCACU